rnacentral:rRNA from 1 species
GAUGAACGCUAGCGGCAGGCUUAAUACAUGCAAGUCGUGGGGCAGCAGGUUUGUAGCAAUACAGAUGCUGGCGACCGGCAAACGGGUGCGGAACACGUACAGAACCUUCCUUUGAGCGGGGAAUAGCCCAGAGAAAUUUGGAUUAAUACCCCAUAGUGUAAUGAAGUGGCAUCACUUUAUUAUUAAAGAUUUAUCACUCGAAGAUGGCUGUGCGGCUGAUUAGGUAGUUGGCGGGGUAAAGGCCCACCAAGCCUGCGAUCAGUAACUGGUGUGAGAGCACGACCAGUCACACGGGCACUGAGACACGGGCCCGACUCCUACGGGAGGCAGCAGUAAGGAAUAUUGGUCAAUGGAGGCAACUCUGAACCAGCCAUGCCGCGUGGAGGAUGAAGGUCCUCUGGAUUGUAAACUUCUUUUAUAUGGGACGAAAAAGGCUUUUCUAAGUCGUCUGACGGUACCAUAUGAAUAAGCACCGGCUAACUCCGUGCCAG